UCCGGCUUAUCACCGGCGGUUUCUUUAGAGUGCCCAACUAAAUGAUGGCAACUAAUGACAAGGGUUGCGCUCGUUGCGGGACUUAACCCAACAUCUCACGACACGAGCUGACGACAGCCAUGCAGCACCUGUGUUACGGCUCUCUUUCGAGCACAUCCAGAUCUCUCCGGACUUCCGUACAUGUCAAGGGUAGGUAAGGUUUUUCGCGUUGCAUCGAAUUAAUCCACAUCAUCCACCGCUUGUGCGGGUCCCCGUCAAUUCCUUUGAGUUUUAAUCUUGCGACCGUACUCCCCAGGCGGUCUACUUCACGCGUUAGCUGCGCCACCGGAACGCUAAGCGCCCCGACAGCUAGUCAUCAUCGUUUACGGCGUGGACUAC
rnacentral:misc_RNA from 1 species